rnacentral:rRNA from 1 species
UACGUAGGGUGCGAGCGUUAGUCGGAAUUACUGGGCGUAAAGGGCUCGUAGGCGGCCAACUAAGUCGGACGUGAAAUCCCCAGGCUCAACCUGGGAACUGCGUCUGAUACUGGAUGGCUUGAAUCCGGGAGAGGGAUGCAGAAUUCCAGGUGUAGCGGUGAAAUGCGUAGAUAUCUGGAGGAAUACCGGUGGCGAAGGCGGCAUCCUGGACCGGCAUUGACGCUGAGGAGCGAAAGCCAGGGGAGCAAACGGG